rnacentral:rRNA from 1 species
AGUCGAACGGGCGUAGCAAUACGUCAGUGGCAGACGGGUGAGUAACGCGUGGGUGGCAGACGGGUGAGUAACGCGUGGGAACGUGCCUUUUGGUUCGGAACAACCCAGGGAAACUAGGGCUAAUACCGGAUAAGCCCUUACGGGGAAAGAUUUAUCGCCGAAAGAUCGGCCCGCGUCUGAUUAGCUAGUUGGUGAGGUAAUGGCUCACCAAGGCGACGAUCAGUAGCUGGUCUGAGAGGAUGAUCAGCCACAUUGGGACUGAGACACGGCCCAAACUCCUACGGGAGGCAGCAGUGGGGAAUAUUGGACAAUGGGCGCAAGCCUGAUCCAGCCAUGCCGCGUGAGUGAUGAAGGCCCUAGGGUUGUAAAGCUCUUUUGUGCGGGAAGAUAAUGACGGUACCGCAAGAAUAAGCCCCGGCUAACUUCGUGCCAGCAGCCGCGGUAAUACGAAGGGGGCUAGCGUUGCUCGGAAUUACUGGGCGUAAAGGGUGCGUAGGCGGGUCUUUAAGUCAGGGGUGAAAUCCUGGAGCUCAACUCCAGAACUGCCUUUGAUACUGAG